GUAGGUAAUCUCCCCCGAGUGGUGGAUAACCUUCCGAAAGGAGGGCUAAUACAGCAUAAGACCACGGCUGCGAAAGCGGCUGAGGUCAAAGCGGAGGAUCGCAAGACUUCGCGCUUGGGGAUGAGCCUGCGGCCCAUCAGGUAGUUGGCGGAGUAACAGCCCACCAAGCCUAAGACGGGUAGCUGGUCUGAGAGGAUGAUCAGCCACACUGGAACUGAGACACGGUCCAGACUCCUACGGGAGGCAGCAGUGGGGAAUCUUGCGCAAUGGACGAAAGUCUGACGCAGCGACGCCGCGUGGGUGAUGAAGGCCUUCGGGUUGUAAAGCCCUGUGGGGAGGGACGAAUAAGUGUUGGCUAAUACCCAGCACGAUGACGGUACCUCCUUAGCAAGCACCGGCUAACUCUGUGCCAGCAGCCGCGGUAA
rnacentral:rRNA from 1 species